UACGGGAGGCAGCAGUGGGGAAUAUUGCACAAUGGGCGCAAGCCUGAUGCAGCCAUGCCGCGUGUAUGAAGAAGGCCUUCGGGUUGUAAAGUACUUUCAGUCGUGAGGAAGGUGUUAAGGUUAAUAACCUUAGCAAUUGACGUUAGCGACAGAAGAAGCACCGGCUAACUCCGUGCCAGCAGCCGCGGUAAUACGGAGGGUGCGAGCGUUAAUCGGAAUUACUGGGCGUAAAGGGCACGCAGGCGGUUAAUUAAGUUGGAUGUGAAAUCCCCCGGGCUUAACCUGGGAAUGGCAUUCAAGACUGGUUAGCUAGAGUCUUGUAGAGGGGGUAGAAUUCCAUGUGUAGCGGUGAAAUGCGUAGAGAUGUGGAGGAAUACCGGUGGCGAAGGCGGCCCCUGGACAAAGACUGACGCUCAUGUGCGAAAGCGUGGGGAGCGAAACAGGAUUAGAUACC
rnacentral:rRNA from 1 species